UACGUAGGUGGCGAGCGUUGUCCGGAUUUACUGGGCGUAAAGAGCGCGCAGGCGGUCGUUCAAGUCGCGUGUGAAAGCCCCCGGCUCAACUGGGGAGGGUCACGCGAUACUGAUCGACUCGAAGGCAGGAGAGGGAAGUGGAAUUCUCGGUGUAGCGGUGAAAUGCGUAGAUAUCGAGAGGAACACCUGCGGCGAAGGCGGGUUGCUGGGCUGACACUGACGCUGAUGCGCGAAAGCCAGGGGAGCGAACGGG
rnacentral:rRNA from 1 species